AAAGAACUUCGGUUGUAUCUAUUCCACAACUUUAUUAACUUCCCAAUGGCGCGGUUGUACUUCUCUUGAAAUAAACGAUUGUAACUCUCGAUUGUUGGUGCUGGCUGGGGUGGGAGAAGAGUGGAGUUGAUGUAGCUUUACCAUUCUCUCCCAAAAGAACCACGGAACCGCAAUCGUAAUCGUCCGUCAACGCUCUCAACGUGUGAACCGAAACCAACGCCAAAGACACCAGCAACCAAUUCCCCAACAAGCACAAAAUCAGGCAUGUAUAUUGCAGCGUCAUUAAAGUCCAUCAAAUUAAUGAAACAAUUUUAUCAAUUAGCUCGCAAUUAGCUCGUGCCAUUGACCUGCAGACACGCGAGUAGUGACAAUAUCUCCGGAUCUAGUCUUCAUUUAAAUCUGAUUACAUCUAUAACAUCCUAUCAUAACAUCUUACAUCUAAGAAUUAUUUCUAACUGCACAACAAUGGUGCUUCCGGAACAGCAGCUUCAGGAGGCAAUUACUGUAACCGGCAAUGGCUAUCACGCCGAACGGAUUCGUUCUUUUUUUAUCCUACUGGCAGUUCAUCAAUCGGUUAGUGGACGAGUGUAAUAUCCAAAGAGAAAUUCAGCGUUCGUUUAACGCAAUAAACCCCAACAUGGUGAUUAGAUACGAGUACCGCGUCAAUAACAAAAUUUCCCAUAAUUUCAUUUAUUUUCUAAUGGUAAAUACUACGGAGAAGGUAGCUCAGGAGAGUCCCUCAAAUCACCUUACCUCUCAGUCAUUGCAAGCACAGAAGGUGAAUGACAAAGAAGGAAAUUCGCAAUUGAUGCAAAGGAUUUCAAGGUUUUUCCAUGCAAUCUCUAAAAAAAUUCAACAAAGAGUGUGUCCUGAUAAUCACGUAGUUGAAAUAGAACUAGAUUUUUUUUAAACGGUAGUAAAUAAGUAAAUUUUCUUAAUUGAGAAAUUGGGUAAUAAUCCAGAAUUUUUACGUAUUCGUAUUUCAUACGUUUAAAAUGCUCAAUUCUAAUCAGUGUACCUGUUCACAAGUGUACCUGUAAUCAAGACACUUCAGCAAUAAAACUUUUACCAAAGUUACAUUUAUCUUCUUAAUUCUAUGCACAGUCAAUAUCUUCAAGCCUCAAAGUAUGGGCGGGUCAAGAGCGUAACCAAAAGGAAAAUACAACCCGUUAAUUGGAACUUGGUUAAAGAGUUUUAGUGCUGAGUGGAUUCAACUGACUUACCUCAAUAAGUGUUUUUAAUUUUUGUAGAGAUAUUUAAAUAGUGUAAUAUAAGAUGUAGCUAUUAAAUCAUAAUAUUUCUGAUUAUAUAUUUAAAUUUCCAACAAACAAAAAAAGGGAUGUUGUUAUCACAAAAGGCCAAAGAAUUGUAAUCGGCAAUAGGUCACUGUUACUCCCAUUCAAAUCAUAUCAAAAGGCCGAAAAGUAUGAAUUUGAACAACUCAACAACAACAACUCGGGAAAUGGAUACAGUUGCCUUAUGAACAUGAGAACAUUCAAA